CCUACGGGAGGCAGCAGUGGGGAAUCUUGCGCAAUGGGCGAAAGCCUGACGCAGCCAUGCCGCGUGAAUGAUGAAGGUCUUAGGAUUGUAAAAUUCUUUCACCGGGGACGAUAAUGACGGUACCCGGAGAAGAAGCCCCGGCUAACUUCGUGCCAGCAGCCGCGGUAAUACGAAGGGGGCUAGCGUUGCUCGGAAUUACUGGGCGUAAAGGGAGCGUAGGCGGAUAGUUUAGUCAGAGGUGAAAGCCCAGGGCUCAACCUUGGAAUUGCCCUUGAUACUGGCUAUCUUGAGUACGGAAGAGGUAUGUGGAACUCCGAGUGUAGAGGUGAAAUUCGUAGAUAUUCGGAAGAACACCAGUGGCGAAGGCGACAUACUGGUCCGUUACUGACGCUGAGGCUCGAAAGCGUGGGGAGCAAACAGGAUUAGAUACCCUGGUAGUCCACGCUGUAAACGAUGAGUGCUAGUUGUCGGCAUGCAUGCAUGUCGGUGACGCAGCUAACGCAUUAAGCACUCCGCCUGGGGAGUACGGUCGCAAGAUUAAAACUACAAAUGAAUUGACGG
rnacentral:rRNA from 1 species